GGCCCCUCUGCGCACCCCACGCAGGCACCAGGGGACUCCUGGGAGCUCUGACUGCGACGCCCCUCUGGCCUCUGCAUCCAGCCAAGCCCUCGCCAGGGCAGGAAAGGAACAGCUCAUGAACAGGGAUCACCUUUUAAUGCCCAAUGGAAAGAGGCACUGAACUGGGCGUCAGUGAACCACUGCUUCAGAAUCUUUCGAAAAGCUAUUCAAAGUGCAGAGCCCAGCUCCUCAGAAGCACAGGAGGAGGACAUCUGCAUUUCAAACCCAGCAAGGACUCUCAAAAUCAGACCACCCCAUUCUGGAAUCAGAUAGUGGGGAUGGUGGCACAAACUUGCUAGAAGGACGUUGCGGUUGAGCUGCCGAGAAGGAGAACUACCAUGUCCACUGCUCUGGCAAAACCUCAGAUGCGUGGCCUCCUGGCCAAACGUCU